rnacentral:lncRNA from 1 species
GACUAAAAGGGGAAUUGUAGGAGAACCUGUAGCCAUGCCUGCUUAGGGGCUGGCUAAAGGUCUGUCCUACCACACCUUCGAGGGAGUGGUCACGGUGAUGUAGAGUGAGAGGUUCAGAUGGCUGGGUUUUGCUUUCAGUUUCACUUUUUUGGCUUGCUGUACAGACUGCUGCUGAGCUGGCUGGCUAGGUCGCUCUGUCACAGUACAUCAUUGAUGGAAGUCAAGGGAGGAACUCAAACAGGAAAUUGGAGAAGAAGCCAUGGAAGAAUGCUUCUUGCUAGUUCAUCUUCAAGUUUAUGCUUAGCUAUCUUCCCAAUAUAUCCUAGGUCACCUACCUACCUAUGGUACUAUCCAUGACAAUCCAAGACUUUCUACAUUAAUUAAUUAUCAAGACAAUCCUCCACAGAUAUACCCACGGGUCAAUAUAAUCUGGGGAAUCUUUCAUUUGAGACUCCUUUCUCUAUGUUGUGUCCAAUUGACAAUUAGAGAUAACUAGGACACCAAAAUAUAAACUGGUUUUGGUGAAUGGAUUUGUUUAUUUAUUUUGUGACAUGGUCUCAGGUAAACCAGGCUGGAUUCUAACUUUCUCUGUUAAUCAGGAUGACCUUGAAUUUCUUGUACCACUAUUUCUAUAGCCUUAGUCCUUAUCUGCCAACAGAAUGCCUGGUUAAUAAGAGAAUGCUGGACCUGCAAUUCCCUUUCCUGCUACAUCAUGACUGUGCUGGCGGGCUCUCUUGCCUACCUUUCCCAGACUUCUCUUCUUCUCCAAGUCCUGCCUUAUUGGCCAUUGGCCCAACAGUGUUUUAUUCAUCAACCAAUAAGAGAAACAUAUACAAAAGGACAUGCACCAUCAAUUAUAU